UCAGCAUCGGCUAACUUCGUGCCAGCAGCCGCGGUAAUACGAGGGAUGCAAGCGUUAUCCGGAAUUAUUGGGCGUAAAGCGUCCGCAGGUGGUUUUACAAGUCUGCUGUCAAAGCGUGGAGCUUAACUCCUGAACGGCGGUGGAAACUGUAAGACUAGAGGUCAGUAGGGGUCACGGAAAUUCCCAGUGGAGCGGUGAAAUGCGUUGAUAUUGGGAAGAACACCACUGGCGAAGGCGCGUGACUGGGCUGAUUCUGACACUCAUGGACGAAAGCUAGGGGAGCGAAAGGGAUUAAAUACCCCUGAAGUCCUAGCUGUAAACGAUGGAUACUAGGUGUUUCGCGUAUCGAUCCGUGCAGUACAGUAGCCAACGCGAUAAGUUUCCCGCCUGGGGAGUAAGCACGCAAGUGUGAAACUCAAAGGAAUAGACGGGUUCCCGCACAAGCGGUGGAGUAUGUGGUUUAAUUCGAUGCAACGCGAAGAACCUUACCAGGGUUUGACAUGUCGCGAAUCCUCUUGAAAGGGAGGAGUGCCUUCGGGAGCGCGAACACAGGUGGGGCAUGGCUGUCGUCAGCUCGUGUCGUGACAUGUUGGGUCAAGUCCCGCAACGAGCGCAACCCACGUCCUUAGUUGCCAUCAUUAAGUUGGGCACUCUAGAUAGACUGCCGGUGACAAACCGGAGGAAGGUGUGGAUGACGUCAAGUCAUCAUGCCCCUUACGCCUUGGGCUACACACGUACUACAAUGAUUGGGACAAAGAGCGGCGAGCAUGCGAAUGCAAGCAAAUCUCGUAAACCCAGUCUUAGU
rnacentral:rRNA from 1 species